AUUGAACGCUGGCGGCAUGCCUUACACAUGCAAGUCGAACGGUAACGGGCCUUCGGGUGCCGCCGAGUGGCGAACGGGUGAGUAAUACAUCGGAACGUGCCCGAUCGUGGGGGAUAACGAGGCGAAAGCUUUGCUAAUACCGCAUACGAUCUACGGAUGAAAGCAGGGGACCGCAAGGCCUUGCGCGGACGGAGCGGCCGAUGGCAGAUUAGGUAGGUGGUGGGAUAAAAGCUUACCAAGCCGACGAUCUGUAGCUGGUCUGAGAGGAUGAUCAGCCACACUGGGACUGAGACACGGCCCAGACUCCUACGGGAGGCAGCAGUGGGGAAUUUUGGACAAUGGGCGCAAGCCUGAUCCAGCCAUGCCGCGUGCAGGAUGAAGGCCUUCGGGUUGUAAACUGCUUUUGUACGGAACGAAAAGCCUUCUUUUAAUACAGGAGGGUCAUGACGGUACCGUAAGAAUAAGCACCGGCUAACUACGUG
rnacentral:rRNA from 1 species